AAUCCAGUUGAUCCUGCUGGGGGUUACGGCUAUCUGGCUUGCACUUAGGCAUGCAAGUUUUUUUGUUUCUCUGAAAUGAAAAACGAACUGCUCAGUAACACGUAGCUAACCUGCCCUCGAGCCGGCAAUACCCUCGGGAAACUGAGGUUAAUAGCCGAUAAGAGAAAAUUUCUGGAACGAUUUUUCUCUGAAAAUUUGCGCGAGAAUGGGGCUGCGGCUGAUUAGGUUGUUGGCGGGGUAAAAGCCCACCAAGCCGAUGAUCAGUAAGGGCUCUUAGCGGAGAGGCCCUGAGAGGGAAUCUGAGACACUAUUCCCAGCCCUACGGGGUGCAGCAGCUGGGAAUCUUCUGCAAUGCGCGAAAGCGUGACAGAGCGAGCCAGAGUGCUUUCUCUAUUGAGAAAGCUUUUGUGAGAUGUAAAAAAUCUCACGAAUAAGGACCGGGCAAGACUGGUGCCAGCCGCCGCGGUAAUCCCAGCGGUCCGAGUCGUAACCGCGUUUAUUGGGUCUAAAACAUCCGUAGCUUGCCCUGUAAGUCUCUUGUGAAAUCAGGCAUCUUAAGUGUCUGGCGAGCAAGAGAUACUGCGAGGCUUGGGACCGGGAGACGUAAGGAGUACAGCUUGGGUAGCGGUAAAAUGCGUUGAUCCUUGCUGGACUAACAAUAGCGAAGGCACCUUACGAGAACGGAUCAGACAGUGAGGGAUGAAGGCUAGGGGCGCACAUUGGAUUAGAUACCCAAGUAGUCCUAGCAGUAAACACUGCACACUAAACAUCGGUACCUCCUCGAGAGGUAUCGGUGCUGUAGGGAAGCCGGAGAGUGUGCUACCUGGGAAGUAUAGUCGCAAGACCGAAACUUAAAGGAAUAGGCGGGGGGGUACUACAACCAGUGACGCGUGCGGUUCAAUUAGAUUCCACACCGUGAACCUCACCAGGACCGACAGCAGGAUGAAGGUCAGUCUAAAGGGCUUACCUGACACGCUGAGAGGAGAUGCAUGGCCGACGUCAGCCUGUGUUGUGAGAUGACCUGUUAAAUCAGGUAACAGGCGAGACCCGUGUGCAUAUUUACAUUGUACAAUAUGCAGACUGCCGUGGUAACACGGAGGAAGGUGCGGGCUACGUUAGGUGAGUACGUCCCAAAUGCCCUGGGCUACACGCGCGCGGCAAUGCUGCAUUCAAAGGGCUGCAACUCCGAAAGGAGAAGCUAAUCUCAUAAACUGCAGCUUAGUUCAGAUCGAGGGUUGCAACUCACCCUCGUGACGCUGGAAUUGGUAGUAAUUGGAUUUUAGCAGAGUCCAGUGAAUAAGUCAAUGCCCCUUGCACUCACCGCCCGUCAAACCAACCGAGUUUUGCAGUGGUGAGGCCCGUUAGGGACGAGCCUUUGUAAGACAAGGUAGGUUAAGUCGUCACAAGGUCACCGUAGGGGAACCUGCGGUGGGAUCACCUCCU
rnacentral:rRNA from 1 species